AGCUCAGUUGGUUAGAGUACCGGCCUGUCACGCCGGGGGUCGCGGGUUCGAGCCCCGUC
rnacentral:tRNA from 1 species